rnacentral:lncRNA from 1 species
CUCUGACAAUGAUGAGCCUAUGAAUUAUAAUUUUUUUAAAAAAAAUCCUGGUACUUGUAAGGUGUGGUGCUAUGGCUUGUAUACGGUCUGAGUUGGUUCCCCGAGUGUUCAUGGGUCAGAAGCUUGGUCCUCAGUGUUGUGAUGUCGGGAGGUAACAGACCUUUAAGAGGUAGAACUCAGAGGGAGGUCAUUGGGUCACUGGGGACACUACUUUUGGACUGGAUUCAGGUAGUUCUUGUGAGACCCUGGGUUAGUUCUCGUGAGAGAAAGGUGUAAUAAGACAUGCCUGACCCUGGACGUCUCUCUGGUUUCCUGUCUGGCAAUGUGUUCCCACUGUGGGAUCCACCAGAGCCAAGCUCCUGCCAGUACCAUGUCCUUGGACUUCCAAAAUGAUGAGUUAAAUAAAUCUCUUUUCUUUAUAAUGUUAUCCAGCCUUAGGUAUUUUGUUAUAGUAACCAAACCUGAUCUAAUACAUGUGGCUUUGAAAAAUAUCUGCUUAAUAUCCCUAAAUUGCAAGGAAAUUAGUGAGAGUAAGGGCUGGAAAAGGCCGAAGGUGUAAAUCAGCCAUAAGAGAGUUUGGCCUUCCAACUUAGAGAAUGAUCUGUCUCACUGAGUAUCCCAGUGGGUGGCAACCAGUGAAUGACUUGGUUUCAGUGUAACUCUGUUGAUCUCUGUAUACUUCAUCUUUAAAGAAACUGGGAUGGUUUCCCCUCCUGGUGUCUAUGGCAUGUGAGAAAAAGAGGCCCGGAGGACUCCAGAAAGAUGUAACACCCUGAUACAGUGAGGCGCUGAGACAGUGGGCUGGGCCGGAGAGUUUGCUCUUAAAAUGAUUCAUCGUCAGUUCGUUCGUUCCACUUCCGAUUAGCUGCUCUUUCUUAGCAAUCACUAGCAUACUUGUGAAUUCUUGUACCG